ACUCACCAAGGCCUUUCCUUUCUCGGUAGUGAUUCGGGCGCUGCGAGAUGACGCCAACAUAUUCGUGCCACCUGGUUUUACCGCUCAGCUUAGUUCUUGGGUGGAAAGUGAAACAGCAAAUAAGACAAUCAGUUGGGAUAAGGAUUGGGAAGGAGUUGUUGGAGGUUUGAGGAGAGAGAAGAUAUGGAAUAACCAUUUAGGAUGGCAUUCAACCAACUGUGGCCUGUAGGCCAAAUGUGGCUUGUCAUCUCUCUUGAAAAUAAAGUUUUGGGAACACAGGCGUGCCUCCUUGUUAAUAUAUUGUCUAUGGCUGCUCUUGCACUACAGUUUCAAAGAAAAGAAGCCCGAGGGUCAGCAGAUGUUGAAGGAGGUAUAAUCAAGAAAGCAAACCAAGGCCUUGGAGAGAUGAAGGGGCUUCCUUAAGGUCAUACAAACCUUUCAGCCAAGUUGCCUAAGAACAACAGUUGAUGAGAACUGCACGUCUUCAAACACUGUCUACUGCAGGAUGGAAACAGGAACCUCUGGGAAUAUCUCCUCCUCCUUGUGAAACAGCUCCUGUCAUAGCAAAGGUCCUGGAAGUCGAGCCACCUGUUCCUUUAUCUGCUAUACCCUACAGCAGCCCAGCAAGCUUCCUAACUUGGAUCCUGGAGUCCUGUUGUCCCUAUUCCCACACAACUACCUCUUCCCGAUUUUCUGUGAAGAUACCUGGGGCUCAGACUUGAGCUGCUGGAAUGGAGACUGAGAAAGCCCAGAAGCCCAAUUUCACACAGCUAGUGAGUACAAAUAUCCAGAAUAGAAUUUAGAGUUGCUUGAC